rnacentral:rRNA from 1 species
UACGUAGGGGGCGAGCGUUGUCCGGAUUUAUUGGGCGUAAAACGCUUGUAGGUGGCUACGUCAAGUCGGACGUGAAAUCUCCCGGCUUAACUGGGAGGGGUCGCUCGAUACUGGCGAGCUCGAGGCAGGAAGGGGGAAGCGGAAUUCCCGGUGUAGUGGUGGAAUGCGUAGAUAUCGGGAGGAACACCAGUGGCGAAGGCGGCUUCCUGGACCUGUUCUGACACUGAGGAGCGAAAGCGUGGGGAGCGAUCCGG